GCUCCAGGAAGAAUCACGCUGUUCUGAUGACAAGGUUCUCCUCCUAUAAGCCUGAACAGGAGACAUUUGAUCGGCUUUCAGCUCGGCUGCAAGGAAGCUUGAGAUUUCAUUACUGCAACUUCCCUCAGCCAAGAGUUCUUGUUUACAGACGAGGAAACGGAGGCACAGAGACUCCCAGUUACUUGCCCAAGACAGCACAGAC